AUAAUUUGAUGCAUUUUACAUUAAAUAUAUCAUUUAAACCAAUCAUAGCAGCCUCUGGUAACACAACAUGUGUUUGAUUGAUGCCAUGUUUGAGUGAGUCUUCAGUUUGAUGAUGUGUGAAGUUUCUUCCUUUAUUGCAGUUCUCUGUACGCUCCUCUGCAGUGGACACGCUCAAGUUCCUGUGCUAACUGUUGAACCCAGCUCGACCAUUUUCAUCGGAGAGUUUGUUAGCUUCAAAUGUGACAUGAAGGAAGGAGAACACACUGACUGGGAAUACAAAAUUAUCAUGGACGGUCGAGAAAUUUUAAACUCCAACACAAACGAAGGUCUCAGUUUAAAAAUUGCAUCUACAGCUCAGAGUGGUAAAUACAGCUGCUCUGCGCACAUGAAGAGCUCACAGAAUACAAAGAACAGUAACACUGUCUCUGUAACUGUGUCGGGUAAGUGGUCAGUGACAUGUACACUAAAUAAUGUUGUCAUGGAAACUUGUUUCUGUUGUGUCUGUUGCUGUGAAGCUUGAACUUAAACCAGGACACUAAUUUUACCUGUUACUUCACACAACUGAAGACUCACUCAAACAUGGCAUCAAUCAAACACUUGAGGUGUUACCCGCAAUUGCUUUACUCACAGUAAACCCAGUACUAAAAUACUCACACUCUGUGUGUGUGUGUGUGUGUGUGUGUAUAGAGAGAGAGAGAGAGAGAGAGAUCUAUAUAUAUAUAUAGAUAUAGAUAUAGAUAUAUAGAUUUGUUUUAAUUUAUUUAAAAAAACCCCAUCAUUGAAACCAUCAUUGUGUGUCCUUCAGCAGUGACCUGUGAUAGUUUACAUUAGUGUGACUUUUUCAGGUCAGACAAACAUUUAUACUGUAAUUAUUUAGAGAUUUAAACCAGAGUUACAGAAACAAUAUCCACAUGUUGAGAAAGACACGAGAAGAAAAAUCAAAGAACACAGAGAGAAAAUAAAUAGAAAAAUAUGAUAAAGAGUAAUGUGGGUGGAAAGUUUCACCACAUGAAACCAAUUUUUGAAAUUUUACAUUUCCUAUAUUUUUAUGAGUUCAUAAUGAAUAAUGCAUUUUUCCUUUUUUUGUCCUAACAGCAGGUAAACCCAGGGCCACACUGACUCCAGGAUCAACUAUCAUACCAGUAGGGGGCAGUGUGACACUGACCUGCUCUGUGGGGAGCUCUGCUGGCUGGAAAUAUGAGUGGUUCAGACGUG
rnacentral:lncRNA from 1 species